AAGACGAAGGGCGCGAGCGUUGUCCGGAAUUAUUGGGCGUAAAGAGCUCGUAGGCGGUUUGUCGCGUCUGCUGUGAAAACUCGAGGCUCAACCUCGGGCUUGCAGUGGGUACGGGCAGACUAGAGUGCGGUAGGGGUGACUGGAAUUCCUGGUGUAGCGGUGGAAUGCGCAGAUAUCAGGAGGAACACCGAUGGCGAAGGCAGGUCACUGGGCCGCAACUGACGCUGAGGAGCGAAAGCAUGGGGAGCGAACAG
rnacentral:rRNA from 1 species